GUCGAACGAACUCUGGUAUUGAUUGGUGCUUGCAUCAUGAUUUACAUUUGAGUGAGUGGCGAACUGGUGAGUAACACGUGGGAAACCUGCCCAGAAGCGGGGGAUAACACCUGGAAACAGAUGCUAAUACCGCAUAACAACUUGGACCGCAUGGUCCGAGUUUGAAAGAUGGCUUCGGCUAUCACUUUUGGAUGGUCCCGCGGCGUAUUAGCUAGAUGGUGGGGUAACGGCUCACCAUGGCAAUGAUACGUAGCCGACCUGAGAGGGUAAUCGGCCACAUUGGGACUGAGACACGGCCCAAACUCCUACGGGAGGCAGCAGUAGGGAAUCUUCCACAAUGGACGAAAGUCUGAUGGAGCAACGCCGCGUGAGUGAAGAAGGGUUUCGGCUCGUAAAACUCUGUUGUUGAAGAAGAACAUAUCUGAGAGUAACUGUUCAGGUAUUGACGGUAUUUAACCAGAAAGCCACGGCUAACUACGUGCCAGCAGCCGCGGUAAUACGUAGGUGGCAAGCGUUGUCCGGAUUUAUUGGGCGUAAAGCGAGCGCAGGCGGUUUUUUAAGUCUGAUGUGAAAGCCUUCGGCUCAACCGAAGAAGUGCAUCGGAAACUGGGAAACUUGAGUGCAGAAGAGGACAGUGGAACUCCAUGUGUAGCGGUGAAAUGCGUAGAUAUAUGGAAGAACACCAGUGGCGAAGGCGGCUGUCUGGUCUGUAACUGACGCUGAGGCUCGAAAGUAUGGGUAGCAAACAGGAUUAGAUACCCUGGUAGUCCAUACCGUAAACGAUGAAUGCUAAGUGUUGGAGGGUUUCCGCCCUUCAGUGCUGCAGCUAACGCAUUAAGCAUUCCGCCUGGGGAGUACGGCCGCAAGGCUGAAACUCAAAGGAAUUGACGGGGGCCCGCACAAGCGGUGGAGCAUGUGGUUUAAUUCGAAGCUACGCGAAGAACCUUACCAGGUCUUGACAUACUAUGCAAAUCUAAGAGAUUAGACGUUCCCUUCGGGGACAUGGAUACAGGUGGUGCAUGGUUGUCGUCAGCUCGUGUCGUGAGAUGUUGGGUUAAGUCCCGCAACGAGCGCAACCCUUAUUAUCAGUUGCCAGCAUUAAGUUGGGCACUCUGGUGAGACUGCCGGUGACAAACCGGAGGAAGGUGGGGAUGACGUCAAAUCAUCAUGCCCCUUAUGACCUGGGCUACACACGUGCUACAAUGGAUGGUACAACGAGUUGCGAACUCGCGAGAGUAAGCUAAUCUCUUAAAGCCAUUCUCAGUUCGGAUUGUAGGCUGCAACUCGCCUACAUGAAGUCGGAAUCGCUAGUAAUCGCGGAUCAGCAUGCCGCGGUGAAUACGUUCCCGGGCCUUGUACACACCGCCCGUCACACCAUGAGAGUUUGUAACACCCAAAGUCGGUGGGGUAACCUUUUAGGA
rnacentral:rRNA from 1 species